rnacentral:rRNA from 1 species
GAACGCGAAGAACCUUACCCGGGCUUGAAUUGCAGAGGAAGGAUUUAGAGAUAAUGACGCCCUUCGGGGCCUCUGUGAAGGUGCUGCAUGGUUGUCGUCAGCUCGUGCCGUGAGGUGUCGGCUUAAGUGCCAUAACGAGCGCAACCCCUCUCUUCAGUUGCCAUCAGGUGAUGCUGGGCACUCUGGAGACACUGCCACCGUAAGGUGUGAGGAAGGUGGGGAUGACGUCAAAUCAGCACGGCCCUUACGUCCGGGGCUACACACGUGUUACAAUGGCCGGUACAGAGGGAUGGUGUAAUGCAAAUUGCAUCAAAUCUUGAAAGCCGGUCCCAGUUCGGACUGGGGUCUGCAACCCGACCCCACGAAGCUGGAUUCGCUAGUAAUCGCGCAUCAGCCAUGGCGCGGUGAAUACGUUCCCGGGUCUUGUACACACC